CGAAAGCCUGACGGAGCAAUACCGCGUGAGGGAGGAAGGUCCUUGGAUUGUAAACCUCUUUUAUCAGGGAAGAAGUUCUGACGGUACCUGAUGAAUAAGCAUCGGCUAACACCGUGCCAGCAGCCGCGGUAAUACGGAGGAUGCAAGCGUUAUCCGGAAUUAUUGGGCGUAAAGCGUCCGUAGGUGGUUAUGCAAGUCUGCCGUUAAAGAAUGGAGCUUAACUCCAUAGGAGCGGUGGAAACUGCAAGACUAGAGUACAGUAGGGGUAGCAGGAAUUCCCAGUGUAGCGGUGAAAUGCGUAGAUAUUGGGAAGAACAUCGGUGGCGAAAGCGUGCUACUGGGCUGAAACUGACACUGAGGGACGAAAGCUAGGGUAGCG
rnacentral:rRNA from 1 species